CUCUCCCUUAGUCCCUCCCUUGACUCAGUUUGCAACUUCUCCUGCCACAUCACACUACGCCACACCACACCACACCACCUUCUACCCUCUCUGUUUCUCCUUUCUAAUGUCAUUCCCACCACCAACUCCUCUGUCAUCUCGUCGUCGACCACACAUAUGUGUGAUCUCUAUCCGGCGUUCAAGUUUCUCCGCUGGAGCUAUUGCUGCACGAAUAAUGGCUUGGGCAUGCUUUACAUUAUCAAGUCCGCGGGCAUUCGCCGGAGGUUGCCCCUUAUUCCACAUUGGUUUUAAGAGAAGUGGUUGUUGUUCCGACUGCUUAACUCCAGCUAUGUUAGCAGCGGAAGAGCUUGCAUCUCUGAUAAUUAGGGCCUCAUUAAAAAACUUCUCGAAAUAGGUGCGAUGAGAACUGCAGUGGAGUUGGGUCUCUAGAAAUUGUUACCUUUAGAGAGUUGGUGCAAGAAUGGUUGGUGUUGCCACAUACGAGGGAGCAGGAACUAAGGUUCUAAAAGAUGCUUGAUGCUAGUUGGGCGGUGGGUUGAGUCCUAGCACCUAGGCGGGACCUAAGUGGACCAGACGGAUUCAAGUAAAUUUAUUAUUUUGUAUUAAAUAAGUGUUUAUUUAUACCUACAAAAUACAUAAUUGUAUUGGGAUACAUAAA